rnacentral:rRNA from 1 species
GCGUGAGUGAUGAAGGCCUUAGGGUUGUAAAGCUCUUUUACCGGUGAAGAUAAUGACGGUAACCGGAGAAAAAGCCCCGGCUAACUUCGUGCCAGCAGCCGCGGUAAUACGAAGGGGGCUAGCGUUGUUCGGAUUUACUGGGCGUAAAGCGCACGUAGGCGGACUAUUAAGUCAGAGGUGAAAUCCCGGGGCUCAACUCCGGAACUGCCUUUGAUACUGGUAGUCUCGAGUCCGAGAGAGGUGAGUGGAACUCCUAGUGUAGAGGUGGAAUUCGU